GAGAGAGGGAAGGAAGACGAGACGUAAACACCCUAGCCACCAAACGGUCGUCUGUCAGCCGAAUUUUGGAUCUCACACCUUCCCGCGCGCUGCCUGCCAAUUUAUUACUCGAAUGUCACUGACCAUCGCAUGCUCGCAUUCCCGUUCCCCCUUAUUUUUCCCGUAAUUUAAACCGGUGUUUUCUUCAAUAUCACAAUUGCAAGUUAGCUUAGAAAUCAAAAUGCGAUGCUGAUUUUUUGAUCGUGAAUUUUGUUACCUUUGCCUUUAGUUUUUAUGUCAUGACAUCUGCGACGUUCUUUCUGUUGUGAAUGCACGAGACCCAAGUCAGCUGGAAGAGUUUGUGAGGAAUCGCCGGGCUGCUUGAUGCGGCAGCAACACAUCGUGUGUAGUAUCCGCCACAUCGGAAAGGUGAAGAAUCUCUCUCUUUCGACGACUCCAGAACUCCACAACAUCAAUCACACGUGACUUUCCACACGACGGUAAAAAAGGACACCUUAGCCAUAUCAACAGACCACCAUCGCACGACAUAUUCCUUCCCCACAUCACCAUGGCAACGGUAACCACGACGCAAUCUUCCUUAUUGAUGUUGACCUUGAUCCUGCUCUCAAUUACUACGUCAUCGUUAGUCCUUGCCGAUUGCCGGAAGCUGGGUCUUCAAUACAAACUAGCCAGACCCGGCUGCAGACCCGUAACUCUAGACUCUGUCGGCUGCCGCGGUACCUGCAGCGGCUACACGAGAAUAUCACCGAAUAAUUACCUCGAGGUCGAGCGAUCCUGCACCUGUUGCCAAGAGAUGGGGUUCUUAGAGCGCACCCAGCGGUUGCAGUGCCCCACUCUGAGUCCUCCAUUCCGUGACGUCACAUACAGGAUACCACGGCGUUGCGCGUGCCGCCCGUGCCGGUCCGUCGCCAGCGUGAAUCGGGUACAGACACUCGAAGAUCUACGAUUCGGGUGAAGACCAGGAAACCAAUGAAAACAAUGAACUUUAUGCCCGUGUCCAUAUCAUGUCAGAUUUACAAAGUACUAUUUUUAUGACAACGACGAUGACCCGGUGACACUGGUGACGAGUUGCACUUCCGGUGUAAUGAAAACAGAAACGAAAAUUCUAAAACUUCAUGUGCAUUCUUAAGUAAUUUGAUGUGGUAUUUAUCUGAGUUUAUAUUGUUAUUCCGUAUUGAUCAUAUUGAUGAAUUAUGAUACCAGGCAUAUUGGGAAUCUUAGAGGAAAAAGAAUAAAACUACAUUUAGGAUAACGUUUUGAUUAUAUUCAUACCAGGAAUUGUGUUAGCUAGAAAUAAUUUUUGUGAAAAAUAACCCUAUUUUCCCGGGCCUUUUUUUUCACUAAAACUUUCCGAUCAAUGUAUUUUUCUUUAUGAAUAGACAGUUUUAAUGAAAUAAAAUCGUAGUUAUUUUUAUUCAAAUUGAUCUUUUUUUGGCACACGAAAACAGAGGCGAAAAGAAUCGCCCCCUCCUUCCGCCGCAAAAUGGCAAAAUCUCAGUGUUUUUACCCUGUAAAUUCUCUGGUUUGCAUGUUGAUGUUAGAUCUCAUGCCAGUAAAUGUCUGAAGAGUGUAAUAUUGAUUCUCGAAAGCUGCUACAAUUUCCGUAUUAAAUCAAGGGUCGUCGAAUCCCCCCCGCAGCACGUGACCCCAGAGCAGUAUGCUUCCAUGAGCAUGAUGGGAAAAGAGUUGUGUUGUCACAAUGUGUUGCACGUUUCCAUCCUCAAAUCCUACUACAUGAAUUUCAAAAUUCAUGUAUACUUCCGGUUCAUUGCACCGUGCAUGAUGGGAUUGGGCAAAGGGGUGAUGGUGAAGCUGGUUUAAAGAUUAUUCAUUCCCUUUUAAUUCCGAGUCAUGGUUCCGACUUAUGGAUUAAUUUAAAGAACAUUUUGGUAUAAAUCAUUGAUGAUAAUAUCUAUAUAGCGCUAAAUACAAUGGCCCGUACUCUGAAGUCGGGUUUAACUUAGACCAUGGUCCCACUCUGUGCUAAACUUAUGGGAAGCAAAAUGUGUCAAAAUUUUGUUUGCAUCAAAUGCUUCACAUGUUUACUGUUCUCUUUCCUAAUUCUUUAAUGGUGAAUACAUAUCUUAUUAAUCAUUCCCAGACAGCUAAUGUUUUUUUAAACAAAUGACCUGAUAAACUGAACUUCUACUGUUAGCGAUUUAUAUCACAACUGGCUUUCCAUUGUUAAACCUGACUUCAAAAUACAGGCCAAUUUUUUUCUAAGCGGUGCAUUGUAUUUCCCUGGCUUUAGCAAGGCUACCCUGAUCGGACGCCCGAGCAUUCAAGGAAUUUUCCCCCUAUGCCGGGUGCCUAUUUACCAUAUUUACUACACCUGGAUGGAGAGUUGCAAAUGUAGAUAAACGCCUUGCCAAAGGACGCGAUUGUUGCGGUGGGAUUCGAAUCCCAGACCUUGUGGUUCAAUGUCAGGACACUUAUCCACUAAGCCACAACACCUCUAUUCAGACAUAUCAGAUCGAUCGAAUUCAUCCCUAAAACUAGAACUUUUACUUGACCUUUGACUCGGAUGGGGUCCACUCCCAACUGACGACGCUUUAAUCUGACUCCGAUCAAAAAUAAUGAGAGUGUAUGUAGUGAAUAUUGGGCGUCUCGUAUUAUCCAAGUUCCAACCCCCACUCCCUUGGCAUCCUUAGGUGUCAUAUUUAAUCUGGUUUGCCACUCUUCACCCAGGAUGAAAGGGUUUGUAGUCAGGAGAAAUCUCAAUGUUGUUAUUCUAUGUAGCCAUAUUCUGUAGCAUCAUUAGAAACUAUCUGUCUGAUUUUUUUUUUUACAUUUUAUCACUGAUAUUACUGUUAAUGUCUUAUCAUUAUCAGUGUAACAUUCUCAAUUGCAGUUGGUCAGAUCCAGGAUGUUCUUACAGUAUCUAAAUAUAAUAUGGUCAUGGUUUUAUGCGACACACACUCGUUCAAUGGUUGUAUUCAUGGGAUACAAUUAGCAUCCCAUCUUGCUAUUUUGAAAAUAAUGGGCUAGUACUUUUUUUAAUCCAUCAUGUAACAAAAAUAAUGUUUUCCUUUAAAAAACAUCAAACAUGUGCACUUUGCAAAAUCCUAUAUUUUUGUCUCUUUAAAGUACUCAUUCAACGUUAACCUGACUCAAAGUUUCGGAUAAAAUUUUCCUCCGAAGAAAUCGAAGAAUCCACCUGCUUUUUCGAAGGCACUCAUAUUACCAUCGAUUUAUAGGCGGAGGAGAAGAAUUUAGGGGUGUCAUGCGUGAAUCCCGCACAAUUUACAUAAUAGAAGUCAAGACAUUCCUCCGAACCGACAUCAAGCGUUCCUCUCUUCUCAAGUAAAUGGGCGAAUAGAUACAUCUUGUGGUUUAAAACAUACCUACGAAUCAAUUGGUGUGAAGCCGAGUAGAGCGAUGGUGCACGGAAAAAAGGUGGCGCGCACUCUUCAUGCUCUUAUCAUUAUUUUACAAGCGAAACAAAAUGCAAGAAACGUCGUGUUAGUGCGUUCAUUGGCGCACUCUUAAUAGACCGUUUGCGUUUGGUUUCCUUCUUGAAAAGUGCAAAUUAUUCGGUGUCAAAGCAAUAAUUUAUGAUGCUUUAACAAUAAUCUUCACACCGUGAAGGGCUUGUAGGUAGGGUUCAUAGAAAGUGGUCUCUUUGACUGUUGUUGACAUUGAUGUUCCAUAUUUCGAGAUAUUCCAUGUUUCGUCGAGGGAGAGUUAACCAUUAUGUUGACAUUUUGAUCGAAGCAUAAGGAUCUGUCAGGGUACAUAAAUGAGCUCUUUCAGUAAGAUUGGACGGAACAAAUAAAAGGGGAAAAUAAAAAGACAAACUUGAAAUGUUUCAGGUUGUCAAAAUUUGAGUUCUUUUUACAUAGAUUAUGGAUACUCGGAGCGGUAAAUAACGGUCGUAUAGAAUACCUUUAUUUUUCACAGCAAAAGUCCACUAUCUUAUUUUAUACAGCUAUAAAAAUUGCUUCUCAUGAAGUCGAUGAAGCAUUGAGUAAAAUAUUUGAUCUGUGUGUAAAAUAAUCGUAACAUAUAACUUUUUGCAGUAUUGCUGUGACUGUACAUAAGAAAGGUUGAGUGUCAAAAAAGUUUUGAAAUUGUGGCGUAUAAACGAGGUGGUGCCCCGAUCGUCGAAUUAGCUGGUAAUUCGUAAGUAAUAAAUAAAAGUAAUAUUAUUCGGGGAUAUUGCAAAACAAGCAUCCUUAUUAUUGAUGGGUUUUUAAUGUCAACACCAAAAUUAAGUAAAUAGAACAUACUGGUUUGCAUCGCCCGAAAGAGAUGAAAAAUUACAUCUUGACCUUGGUAAUUAAAGUAUGCAUUUGAAAAUCAUAUAAUUUUAUUCACUAAAUUUCUAAACGGUAUGGACAGUACAUGAUUGAGCUUUAACCUAUGUCUAAAAUGUUGAUAAAAUGGCGAAGUUACUGUUGGUUAUGCAUGAUAAUGUUUAAUAUUCAUGUAUUCGUAUUAAUUCAAUUUUAUUCUGUCAUACACUUCGUGGAAUCAUUAUUCAAUGACAAUGCUUGCAUUUAACCUUCUGCUGCACAUAAUAUUUAUAAAUUAUUUGGGUAUAACCUAUAUUGUCAUAUUAUAGUUUCGAAUUUAAAGAAUGUGUAACAGGGUAUGACUUAUCAACAGGAGAAUAGAUAAAUAUUUUCCAAAUGUAUUUUGGGUUUGGCUGAUGCAGAAAUGCCUGAAAAGUAAAACGUGCUGCGAAAGAGUUAUAGAGUCUUUAAAUACAUGAAAAUGUAUAUAGAUCCUUACGUUCAAUUGUAAUUGGAAAAAAAAGAAAAUAUAUUAAUUUAUUCCAUAUAGUAUGAAAAUGAUUCGCUAUUUGUACAUAGAGUAUGUAAAAAGAGGACUUGGCAUUUAAUGUCCAAUUGUAAAUAGCACCGUAAUUACCAUCUGUCUCCCUUCCCCUCUCGAUAUAUGUCUAUCUCUCUCUCUGUCUCUUUCUAUCUCCCUCUCUCUCUCGCUUAUGUACACACACACGCACACACCCUUACACACGCACCCCCACACCCACCAACACACACACACAAACACACCCAAACAUACUUCUAUAAUUUUAUUCAGGUUUAGAAGGUACCUAUAGCUUUAAUGUAGAUCGAAAUCAAACAAUGUAAAAACAUCAUGAAGUAUCAGGGUAUAAGACAAAUUGGGAAAUAAACGAACAUGUCCUUGUCAUAACGACCUUUCAUUAAAAAAUGUCAUCGUGUUAGAUACGAAAGGUGUGGACGAUAUUGUUGAUUUGCUUCGAAAAAAUAAAAACAUUCUUACAAAAUGAA